GGGAGGCAGCAGUGGGGAAUAUUGCGCAAUGGGGGAAACCCUGACGCAGCGACGCCGCGUGGAGGAUGAAGGUCUUCGGGUUGUAAACUCCUUUUCUCAGGGAAAAUGAUGAUGGUACCUGAGGAAUAAGCCACGGCUAACUCUGUGCCAGCAGCCGCGGUAAGACAGAGGUGGCGAGCGUUGUUCGGAAUUACUGGGCUUAAAGGGCGCGUAGGCGGUAGGGCAAGUCUGAGGUGGAAUCCUAUGGCUUAACCAUAGAAUUGCCUUAGAAACUGUUUUACUUGAGUCAGUGAGGGGAGGGCGGAAUUCCUGGUGUAGCGGUGAAAUGCGUAGAUAUCAGGAGGAAGGCCUGUGGCGAAGGCGGCCCUCUGGCACUGCACUGACGCUGAGGCGCGAAAGCGAUGGGUAGCAAACAGGAUUAGAUACCCUGGUAGUCCACGCCCUAAACGGUGGGCAUUAGGUGUAGGGCUCGUAAGGGUUCUGUGCCGAAGGAAACCAUUAAAUGCCCCGCCUGGGGAGUACGGCCGCAAGGUUGAAACUCAAAUGAAUUGACGG
rnacentral:rRNA from 1 species